rnacentral:rRNA from 1 species
GCCGUGCUAGUACCUGCAAGUAGAACGCUGAAGAGAGGAGCUUGCUCUUCUUGGAUGAGUUGCGAACGGGUGAGUAACGCGUAGGUAACCUGCCUUGUAGCGGGGGAUAACUAUUGGAAACGAUAGCUAAUACCGCAUAACAAUGGAUGACACAUGUCAUUUAUUUGAAAGGGGCAAUUGCUCCACUACAAGAUGGACCUGCGUUGUAUUAGCUAGUAGGUGAGGUAAUGGCUCACCUAGGCGACGAUACAUAGCCGACCUGAGAGGGUGAUCGGCCACACUGGGACUGAGACACGGCCCAGACUCCUACGGGAGGCAGCAGUAGGGAAUCUUCGGCAAUGGGGGCAACCCUGACCGAGCAACGCCGCGUGAGUGAAGAAGGUUUUCGGAUCGUAAAGCUCUGUUGUAAGUCAAGAACGGGUGUGAGAGUGGAAAGUUCACACUGUGACGGUAGCUUACCAGAAAGGGACGGCUAACUACGUGCCAGCAGCCGCGGUAAUACGUAGGUCCCGAGCGUUGUCCGGAUUUAUUGGGCGUAAAGCGAGCGCAGGCGGUUUGAUAAGUCUGAAGUUAAAGGCUGUGGCUCAACCAUAGUUCGCUUUGGAAACUGUCAAACUUGAGUGCAGAAGGGGAGAGUGGAAUUCCAUGUGUAGCGGUGAAAUGCGUAGAUAUAUGGAGGAACACCGGUGGCGAAAGCGGCUCUCUGGUCUGUAACUGACGCUGAGGCUCGAAAGCGUGGGGAGCGAACAGGAUUAGAUACCCUGGUAGUCCACGCCGUAAACGAUGAGUGGCUAGGUGUUGGAUCCUUUCCGGGAUUCAGUGCCGCAGCUAACGCAUUAAGCACUCCGCCUGGGGAGUACGACCGCAAGGUUGAAACUCAAAGGAAUUGACGGGGGCCCGCACAAGCGGUGGAGCAUGUGGUUUAAUUCGAAGCAACGCGAAGAACCUUACCAGGUCUUGACAUCCCGAUGCUAUUUCUAGAGAUAGAAAGUUACUUCGGUACAUCGGUGACAGGUGGUGCAUGGUUGUCGUCAGCUCGUGUCGUGAGAUGUUGGGUUAAGUCCCGCAACGAGCGCAACCCCUAUUGUUAGUUGCCAUCAUUCAGUUGGGCACUCUAGCGAGACUGCCGGUAAUAAACCGGAGGAAGGUGGGGAUGACGUCAAAUCAUCAUGCCCCUUAUGACCUGGGCUACACACGUGCUACAAUGGUUGGUACAACGAGUUGCGAGUCGGUGACGGCGAGCUAAUCUCUUAAAGCCAAUCUCAGUUCGGAUUGUAGGCUGCAACUCGCCUACAUGAAGUCGGAAUCGCUAGUAAUCGCGGAUCAGCACGCCGCGGUGAAUACGUUCCCGGGCCUUGUACACACCGCCCGUCACACCACGAGAGUUUGUAACACCCGAAGUCGGUGAGGUAACCUUUGGAGCCAGCCGCCUAAGUGACAAG